UACGGAGGAUCCAAGCGUUAUCCGGAUUUAUUGGGUUUAAAGGGUGCGUAGGCGGCUUAUUAAGUCAGGGGUGAAAGACGGUGGCUCAACCAUCGUAGUGCCCUUGAUACUGAUGAGCUUGAAUACACUUGAGGUAGGCGGAAUGUGACAAGUAGCGGUGAAAUGCAUAGAUAUGUCACAGAACACCAAUUGCGAAGGCAGCUUACUAAGGUGCAAUUGACGCUGAGGCACGAAAGCGUGGGGAUCAAACAGG
rnacentral:rRNA from 1 species